AACCACUUCUAUUCUGAGUUAGACAGACAUGUCCCUCGUCUUCAGAGUUUGUUCAGGAAGAAAGCUGCGCGCACAGGGAAGGUGUCCGAAGUCCUGGAUCAGCUCUUCAACACUUAUGACCGCCAGGAACAAGUUGACGUCAAUGUCCUCCGUGCUGCCGUCCUCCGUGCUCUCCCUACAUAUCUGCAUGAGGAUGACUCCGGAUUUCUGAAGCUGUGGGAUCAGGCCCUGUCAGAUGAACUGCAAAUCGACAACAUACCAG